rnacentral:rRNA from 1 species
AUUGAACGCUGGCGGCAGGCCUAACACAUGCAAGUCGAGCGGAACGGCGGACGGGUGAGUAAUGCCUAGGAAUCUGCCUGGCAGUGGGGGAUACCGUCCGGAAACGGGCGCUAAUACCGCAUACUAUCAGAUGAGCCUAGGUGGGAUUAGCUAGUUGGUGGGGUAAAGGCCUACCAAGGCGACGAUCCGUACCUGGUCUGAGAGGAUGAUCAGUCACACUGGAACUGAGACACGGUCCAGACUCCUACGGGAGGCAACAGUGGGGAAUAUUGGACAAUGGGCGAAAGCCUGAUCCAGCCAUGCCGCGUGUGUGAAGAAGGUCUUCGGAUUGUAAAGCACUUUAAGUUGGGAGGCGUUACCAACAGAAUAAGCACCGGCUAACUCCGUGCCAGCAGCCGCGGUAAUUC